CCUACGGGUGGCUGCAGUGGGGAAUAUUGGACAAUGGGCGAAAGCCUGAUCCAGCCAUGCCGCGUGUGUGAAGAAGGCCUUCGGGUUGUAAAGCACUUUCAGUGGGGAAGAAAGCCUUGGGGCUAAUACCCUCGAGGAAGGACAUCACCCACAGAAGAAGCACCGGCUAACUCCGUGCCAGCAGCCGCGGUAAUACGGAGGGUGCGAGCGUUAAUCGGAAUUACUGGGCGUAAAGCGCGCGUAGGCGGUCUGAUAAGCCGGUUGUGAAAGCCCCGGGCUCAACCUGGGAACGGCAUCCGGAACUGUCAGGCUAGAGUGCAGGAGAGGAAGGUAGAAUUCCCGGUGUAGCGGUGAAAUGCGUAGAGAUCGGGAGGAAUACCAGUGGCGAAGGCGGCCUUCUGGACUGACACUGACGCUGAGGUGCGAAAGCGUGGGUAGCAAACAGGAUUAGAUACCCUUGUGUC
rnacentral:rRNA from 1 species